CUGCCGGGAAAGUACAAAACAGAUGGAAAGAAUCCAUAGUGGUCUGCAAGUACAAGUGUGUAAUUUUGACUUCAGUUGGAAAGAGAUUUUCCAAAAUGGAAGUCUUUCUCACUCAAAGAAAUUUUGUUUUAUGAACUUCCCAUCAGAGUGGAUCUUCAGAGGUGAUUGACUUGACAGUAGAAGUCAUCAGUAACGAGACUUUUCACUCUCUUUAAAAAAA